UACGUAUGGGGCAAGCGUUAUCCGGAUUUACUAGGUGUAAAGGGUGCGUAGGCGGCUCUGCAAGUCAGAAGUGAAAUCUAUGGGCUUAACCCAUAAACUGCUUUUGAAACUGUGGAGCUUGAGUGAAGUAGAGGUAGGCGGAAUUCCCGGUGUAGCGGUGAAAUGCGUAGAGAUCGGGAGGAACACCAGUGGCGAAGGCGGCCUACUGGGCUUUAACUGACGCUGAGGCACGAAAGCGUGGGUAGCAAACAGG
rnacentral:rRNA from 1 species